GGCUGGGGUGUGCACGGAGAAAGCCGUUUGCCACAAGGGCCAUAAAGGGAAGAAUCUGAGCCUGCAGAAAAGACAUUGUUGGCGUUCCUUCCCAAAGAACAUCCACGGCAGCCGCAGAAGCGGUGGGCACUGAUGCCAGGUCGGAGGGUCUCUGACGUGACUCGGUACCGGGUCUCCAGCCUGAGGGCAGGCUGCAGGAAGGUCUGAAGGCUGGCCUUGACCCGGCACCCCCGAGGGGGUGGGACUGCAGAGCCGGCCACUAACGCCAGGCGUGGCCUCUGUGUGAGCACCGCACCUGUCUUCCAGGAGCAGAUGCCAACAGGGACUCUGUCUCUUCCACCGUGAAAAGGCAGCCUGACUUUAAAUGUCCCUGCUGCCAGCAUCCCAGAAGACAGGAGGUGGGGUAACACGCCAUCACGGACUCCACUGACCGAGUGUCUGAGUCCAGCGCGCUCGGGAGGCAAGAAGCUCCCUCGCCUCCAACACGCAGCCCAUGACGAAGACGACGUGGCUCCUUGUCCCUUCUAUGUCUGCACAACCUGACCGAAGGGACUCGUUACCAAUCUCUGCCUUACAGUGGAGCCACUGAAUUGCUGAGCCAGCAGGCGUCCUGGGAAUCGCCGUCUGAUGCCUUCGGUUGCAGGUAGAGAAGGACACCUGAGUGCCUGAGACACAAAGUGACCAGUCAAGGCCACACGGCUGGUUAAUGUCAGGAAGCGUCAGUGACAAAACGUCCCCAUCCCCGUGCUUCUCAAAUGCUUGCUCUCUGGGAUCGUUUCCAGAGAUGCUCGAAUGUUCUACUGACUCCUAAGAAAUCCACGUAUAUUUGGAGUGUACAUCUCAAAGAAAUGGGGGUAUUUGAGGUAACGUUCAUAGUGCGCUAAACCCCAGAAAGGUUCCCAGAAACAAUAGUUUCCUGCGGAAAAGCACUUCCUCUGCCUGAAGAAGGCUGGGGCGCCUAACGUGACACCAGGCAAGAAGCCACCCAACACCGGGGCCGUGCCGGAGAGCCGGCUGUGCAUGAGCCAUUGGCUGCUUCAGAGACCAGAGACCACAGCUCGCUUCUUUAGGCCGGCCACAUAGACCCUCUGCCUCCGUAGUCUCUUUCCUCGGUUUUCCAUUCAAUAAAU